GUCGGGAGCCGGCAAGGGAAAGCCGAAGGCAUCAGAGCGGCGGCGGGAGCAGCCCGGGCCGCGCUCCUCCGCGGCGGGGCCGGGGCCGGGGGCGGCCGCAGCAGCAGCAGCAUCCCCGCACCGGGGCUGGCUCCGUCCCGCACCGGGAAUGAAUGGCUCCGUCCCGCACCGGGAAUGAAUGGCUCCGUCCCGCACCGGGAAUGAAUGGCUCCGUCCCCGUCCGGAUCCGCGGCUCCCCGUGCGGAGGCUGCUCCCGCCGCCCUCAGCCCCCCGCCGCCCCCGGCCCCAUGACGUAGCGGAGGGGCCGGGGGAGCUGCCGGUCUCUCUCCGCGGCCCCGGGCAGCCCCCGGCGCAGCCGCCGCUGCCGAGUCAUCAAUACCGAGCCGGGCCGGGCAUCCCGGGGGGGCCGCGCCGCGCCCCGGGCCGCCAAUGGCGGCGGCUCCGCCGGUUUCCACGGCAACGCUGCGGGAGCGGGGUCUGGUGACUAUUGAUGAGCUCCCAUCCUCCUGCACCGCAUCCCCCCGCAUCCUCCUGCACCGCAUCCCCCCGCAUCCUCCUGCACCGCAUCCCCCCCGCACCGGGGCCGGGGAGCCUCGGAGCCCCGCACGCCGCCGGGAUCGGGGUUUGGACACCGCACCAGCCCGAGCCGCUCCUCGGCUCUGCCCCAGGGCUACUCAGCUCUGGCCCUGGACACUCAGCUCUGGCCUCGGGAUACUCAGCUCUGGCCCAGGAUACCCGAUUCUGGCCCCAGGAUACCCAGCUGUGCCCCAGGGAUGCUCAGCUUUGUCCCGGGAUGCUCAGCUCUACCCCAGGAUUCCCGAUUCUGCCCCAGGGAUGCCCAUCUCUCCUUCGAGAAUGCUCAGCUCUGCCUCAGGAUGCCUGAUUUGCUGAACAGGUCAGGGUAGAUCUCACCAUCUCCCAGUGCUCAGAUCCCCUCAGUUCCUGCCACGGCUGUUCCCCUGGCAAGGUGCAGAACCAGUGUGGAAGAACACCCAGGCACUGCUCACGUCCCCAGCGAGACAGAACAAGAAGGUUUCAUUAGAAGGAGACAGCAGCAGUGGGAGGAGAAACGUGCCCUGUAAGAUCUGGUGUGGCUGUCGGCCGAGUUGUGCUUCCACUGCCUCGUGCUGCUCACAGGCUCUGCCUGGCUCAUCUGGGACCUGCUGCCACCCCUGGCCCUCAGCAUCUUUCCCCUUGUUCCACUCCCCUGUGCCAGACCCAGCUGGCUCCACCGCACUGCCCUGGAGAAAGGGGCACACCCGGACACCAUUCCUGGGGAGAGGAUAUCUCCUGAGCUUGGGAAGAUGAACUUUCGCAUCUUGGCCAGCCUACUGCUGGAUAAGUCCUUAAACACUUAUUAAGUCUCCUUAAAAAGGAGAGAGGAAAAAUGGAAGGGUUUUAUUUAAAUAAAAACAGGGGAAAAGUAGCA
rnacentral:lncRNA from 1 species